UACGAAGGGUGCAAGCGUUAAUCGGAAUUACUGGGCGUAAAGCGUGCGUAGGCGGUUUCUUAAGUCUGCUGUGAAAGCCCCGGGCUCAACCUGGGAACGGCGCGCGAGACGGGGGGGCUGGAGUUCGGGAGAGGAGCGUGGAAUUCCCAGUGUAGAGGUGAAAUUCGUAGAUAUUGGGAAGAACACCGGUGGCGAAGGCGGCGCUCUGGACCGAGACUGACGCUGAGGAGCGAAAGCUAGGGGAGCAAACGGG
rnacentral:rRNA from 1 species